AUGGUAACUUAUUAUCAUCGCUUCAUAUAUGAAUUGUUCAAUGUUGUGCAUGACCAAGUUAUUACUGAGUUAAAUAACCGCUUUGCUGAGAUAUCUACUCAAUUGUUAAGAUGCAUUGCUUGUCUUGAUCCAAGGAACUCAUUUGCUAAUUUUGAUGAAGACAAACUUGUUGAACUUGCUAAGAUGUACGCUGAUGACUUCUCCACAUAUGAGAUUUUGUUUGUCCUUAGAAAGCAGCUUGAAACAUUCAUUGCGGAUGUGAUAGCUAAUCCAAUUUUUUUGAGUUGUAAUGACCUCGGUAAUCUUGCUGUGAAGAUGGUUCAGACUGGUAGACACAUUGUUUUCCCUUUGGUAUAUCGCCUCAUUGAGUUAUUGAUUUUGCCUGUUGCAACCGCAUCGGUGGAAAGAGCUUUCUCAGCUAUGAGUAUUAUCAAGACAGAGUUGAGGAAUAGGAUGAGUGAUGACUGGCUUAAUUAUAGGAUGGUUUGCUAUAUUGAGCGAGAUAUAUUUGCAACUACUGACGAUGAUGAUAUUGUAUAUCGAUUUCAAUCAUAUAGGUCUCGCAAAGGGCUUUUACCUCGUCGAAGUGGUAAGUUUUAG
rnacentral:rRNA from 1 species